rnacentral:pre_miRNA from 1 species
CAUGCAGCGGUGGGGUCCCUCAGCCUGGUCUGUGCCCUUUCGCAAUCCAGGACCCCUCAGGGAUGUCAGAGAGCCAGUUUUGGCCCGAUCCCACAGGCCAGGCUGAGGGACCCCACUGGUGCAUG